rnacentral:rRNA from 1 species
GAUGAACGCUAGCGGCAGGCCUAAUACAUGCAAGUCGAACGAUACCAGAGAGCUUGCUUUCUGGGAAAGUGGCGCACGGGUGCGUAACGCGUAUGCAACCUACCUUAAUCAGGGGGAUAGCCUCUCGAAAGAGAGAUUAACACCGCAUAAAAUCACACUUCGGCAUCGAAGAAUGAUCAAAUAUUUAUAGGAUUAAGAUGGGCAUGCGUGACAUUAGCUAGUUGGUAAGGUAACGGCUUACCAAGGCUACGAUGUCUAGGGGAUCUGAGAGGAUGACCCCCCACACUGGUACUGAGACACGGACCAGACUCCUACGGGAGGCAGCAGUAAGGAAUAUUGGUCAAUGGGGGCAACCCUGAACCAGCCAUGCCGCGUGCAGGAAGACGGCCCUACGGGUUGUAAACUGCUUUUAUACGGGAAUAAAUCUCGCUACGUGUAGUGAGUUGAAUGU